rnacentral:rRNA from 1 species
UCUUCCGCAAUGGACGAAAGUCUGACGGAGCAACGCCGCGUGAGUGAUGAAGGUUUUCGGAUCGUAAAACUCUGUUGUUAGAGAAGAACNAGGGUGAGAGUGGAAAGUUCACCCCUUGACGGUAUCUAACCAGAAAGCCACGGCUAACUACGUGCCAGCAGCCGCGGUAAUACGUAGGUGGCUAGCGUUGUCCGGAUUUAUUGGGCGUAAAGCGAGCGCAGGCGGUUCUUUAAGUCUGAUGUGAAAGCCCCCGGCUCAACCGGGGAGGGUCAUUGGAAACUGGAGGACUAGAGUGCAGAAGAGGAGAGUGGAAUUCCAUGUGUAGCGGUGAAAUGCGUAGAUAUAUGGAGGAACACCAGUGGCGAAGGCGGCUCUCUGGUCUGUAACUGACGCUGAGGCUCGAAAGCGUGGGGAGCAAACAG